UCUUCUCUGUUCUCUGUGAUGAAUGCUGACGAUGUUGUAGAUGUGAACUUUUUUUUUCUCUGUUGUCUAUGAUGAAUGCUUGUUGUCCUGGAGAUAUUGUAGA
rnacentral:ncRNA from 2 species